rnacentral:tRNA from 1 species
CACGGGUGCGCCGGCAGUUCGUGAGCUUCGCCAAUGCCGGGGCCGGACGGUCGAUCGAGAUGUUCGGCCGGUGGGGUCCCGACACCCGCGGC